GUGAAAUUGUUGAAAGGGAAACGAUUGAAGCCAGUCGUGCUGGCGGAAAAUCAACUUAUAGGCUACUAUGAGUACACUUUUUCGCAAGGCAGGUUAGCAUCGGUUUCAGUUGCAUUAUAAUAAUCAUGGGAAGGUAGCUUCUUUGGAAGUAUUAUAGCCUGUGGUAGAUGAUGUGACAGAGACCGAGGAUUGCAGCGAAUGCCUUUUAGGCUACGUGUCUGGUCUCUGGCUAUCAGUAACUUGCUCGUUAGCUUGCUGAAGAACUCGUUAAGAAUUUUCAAAGGUUCAGAACAUGAUAAAUUCACUAAAGAUGCUGACGUAAUGGCUUUAAACGAC
rnacentral:rRNA from 1 species